GAAUGCUAAUAUGCCACCUUGGAAACAUCCAGCACAGUGUGGCUGCAGAAGCUAAGCAAGGUCAAGUCUGGUUAGCAUUGGAUGGGAGACCACCAAGGAAUACAAGGAAUAUCAUAGU
rnacentral:rRNA from 1 species